rnacentral:rRNA from 1 species
AGAGUUUGAUCCUGGCUCAUAUUGAACGCUGGCGGCAUGCCUUACACAUGCAAGUCGGACGGCAGCGCGGGAGCAAUCCUGGCGGCGAGUGGCGAACGGGUGAGUAAUACAUCGGAACAUGUCCAGUAGUGGGGGAUAGCCCGGCGAAAGCCGGAUUAAUACCGCAUACGAUCUACGGAUGAAAGCGGGGGAUCUUCGGA